rnacentral:lncRNA from 1 species
AGCAAAACCACAUUCCUGCUGCUGUCAGUUAUGAUGCACUGAGAAAACUUCAGAGACCUAAACUUUUUCCAGAGAAGAGAAGCUUUACUGGUUCUAUAUUGCAGAAACCUUUGUUCAACAAAACUGCAGAUGCUCUGUUGAAUCCACUGGAGAUUGUUCUGAUACUAAGGACAAGUAUCAAACAUCUUUCCUGUGAAAAAUUCCCUCUCCUAGUACUUUAGUUCUGUGGAUCCAAAAUUUAUAGCAUUCUUCUACCACCACAGGGGCUCAUAUGACAUUAACAGACAAGACACUUUUCAGAAAGACAGGUUGUUCUUUUGGGCCACAUCUAAGAAAUCUUUGUCUAGCCAAAAGCCACAAAUAAUUUCUCAUUUUUUGGCUUCUGGAAGAUGUACAGUUAAAUGUUAUAUUUGGGACUGUUAUCUAAUUUGGUUAAAUUGCACUCUACAAUAUGGUAUUUGAAUUGAUGAAAAAUUAGUAAAUGUUAAUAUUUUUUAAAGUAGCCAAAUCUUGCAAUUUAUAUAUAAUAGAGAAGACUAGAAAAUCCCCCAUAUUUAUUUCCUCUUACUUCGUACUACUAAAAUUUGUAUUUAGGCAUUUGGUUUCUCAGAUAAACAUUACAUUCCCCAGUAUAUGGUUCUAUCUGGCUUGGUGACGACAUGUUGAACAUUAAGAUGUGAGCAGAAGUAAUACAUACACACUCUUUUUCAUGUCUUUAAUUGAAUGGGAUAUUGGCCCAUUUUUUCUUCCAGUUUAUUACACUGAAUAUUGACAUGUUAUUUUCCAAUAUUGAGACAAUCAAUGACAAGACUUUAAGAGUAACAAUGUAAAAAUACAGAAGUUGUCUGAGUUUAUCAACAAUCCCCUGGAUUAGAACCCCCUACCAGUUCUAGGUCAUCUAAUAUAUAGACAUUGUGUUCAGUAGAAAUAAAUAUAUAUA